AGUUCAAGCCCUCUUGGUCUGUUGUGUAGCCAGCCUGGUUUGAGGAUUUCUGAAUUGGUCUUCUAAUUCCAGUCUCAAUAUUUCCACUAGUGAUCUGAUAUGGUACAGUGCAGAGAAAUGGAGAGUAUAAAAGAUUCCACCUGCAAAAGCUGAGUAUUUGCAUCCUCCUACUGUUAACUUAAAACUUUUACACAUGUGUAAAAUCUUUUUAAGACCAA